UACGUAGGGGGCGAGCGUUGUCCGGAGUUACUGGGCGUAAAGCGCACGCAGGCGGUCCCAUUAGUCUGUAGGGACAGGGCACGGCUCAACCGUGUCAGGCUUACGGAAACUGUGGGACUUGAGGGCUUCAGAGGGAUGGGGAAUUCCGGGUGGAGUGGUGAAAUGCGUAGAGAUCCGGAAGAACACCAAAGGCGAAGGCACCAUCCUGGGGAGUCACUGACGCUCGGGUGCGAAAGCUAGGGGAGCGAACGGG
rnacentral:rRNA from 1 species